CAACAGGGAUUGCCCUAGUAACGGCGAGUGAAGCGGCAACAGCUCAAAUUUGAAAUCUGGCGUCUUUGGCGUCCGAGUUGUAAUUUGCAGAGGGCGCUUUGGCAUUGGCAGCGGUCCAAGUUCCUUGGAACAGGACGUCACAGAGGGUGAGAAUCCCGUACGUGGUCGCUAGCCUUUACCGUGUAAAGCCCCUUCGACGAGUCGAGUUGUUUGGGAAUGCAGCUCUAAAUGGGAGGUAAAUUUCUUCUAAAGCUAAAUACUGGCCAGAGACCGAUAGCGCACAAGUAGAGUGAUCGAAAGAUGAAAAGCACUUUGGAAAGAGAGUUAAAAAGCACGUGAAAUUGUUGAAAGGGAAGCGCUUGCAGCCAGACUUGCCUGUAGUUGCUCAUCCGGGUUUUUACCCGGUGCACUCUUCUACGGGCAGGCCAGCAUCAGUUUGGGCGGUUGGAUAAAGGUCUCUGUCACGUACCUCCUCUCGGGGAGAUCUUAUAGGGGAGACGACAUGCAACCAGCCUGGACUGAGGUCCGCGCAUCUGCUAGGAUGCUGGCGUAAUGGCUGUAAGCGGCCCGUCUUGAAACACG
rnacentral:rRNA from 1 species